rnacentral:rRNA from 1 species
CUAAAGACGGCUAAAAUCAGAAAUGUGACCCAUGUCGUCGCGUGCGUUCGGCCGCUGCGUGUGCCGUGUGGAGGACGGGUUCGUGCGACGUCCACGGGGAGGACGAGUCCGACGGCGUGCGUGUAGAGGACCUAACGCGGCGGAGGGAGAGGGAGCGGAGACGUAGAGCGGCGGCGUGCGCAAGGUAGCGGUUUGCGGCGGGCCGGGAUUUGGAGAUUUGGGAUGGUGGCGCACGGGGUGUCGACGGGGGCAGCGGCGGUGACGGCGAGGCCAAGAAGAAGCAGCCCUGAGGAGCAAAGACGGCACAGGUGGGGCAGGCGUUGGAAACCGGCGACCCAAAACUCCUACAGGUUGAGGUUGCAGUGUCACACACACGCUAAGUCCGGCGACUCGGUGUUUCUCUCCUUCCGGUUACUGUUCCAGACGAAGUUCUUUAACCUGAGGCUCAGAAAACAAAAGUUCCUACUCGCCCUGCUUCUACAGUAUAAGUCGAAACUGUUCCACAAGAUACUACUACGCCUUGUCAGACUACACAUGUUAAAGGAACGUCACGGGUAACAACGUCUACGACAGUUACCUUAUUUACCCUGGUAUUAAAGAAUACCAGUCUGACCUCGACCUUUUUGUAUAUCGUACCUCCCCGGUUCGUAGAACGUGACGUUACUCGACUUUUGACCUGACCAAGUCGCACAACAUUUACUAGAAAAACUUACAAAUUCUUGUAGUCUUCUGUAAUGAUGUACCUGACACUUUAACAGUUACCACCUCUAUAUAAACCUUUUUCAUUCCCUGGAAGAACUGAACAGGUUCCUGUUGGAUGUUUAGUUCCUCUCAUUUUCGGUUCCCUAAAAAUAAAUACCUCGUUGUCUCUAUAGCUAAUACUUAUCAAGUCUACGGAACCUCGCGGAAAGACUUCCUUAACGGUUGUCUCGACAACCUCUUUGUGUUUACUUGGACCGGUCGUCAUCUUCAGUGACGCACAUGUAAAAGAGGCACGUCGUACCUAGGUGACGUCUACUAUUCCAUUCCCGGCCCUUCUAACAAGAACAACUGAACCGACCAAGUCUCUUUCAACUCUUUUGACCACGACUUCCCGCUCAAGAACUACUCCGCUUUUGUUAGUUGUUCAGCGAGAGUCGAGAACCUUUACAAUAAUUACGGGAUUGAUGACGAUUUGGCUUAGUACAGGGAAUGGCACUGAGCUUCGAAUGUGCGUAUGAAGUUCUACGUGACCCACCGUCGAGUUCUCGACGUAACGAUACGACGACAAGAGGAUCAAGCAGCUUGCGUGGUCUUUCAGACAGAUGGUAAGCGAAACCUUGGUCCUGCUUCGAGUAUUUCUGAGAUGGGUUUGACUAAGGGUUACUUCACCUGUCGCAGUUCUUCGGGUGGACGAUAAGAGUACUAGUUCUACUAGGCGCACCGUCUCGUGGUUCGUUCCGACCAUCGUCGGUCAGACUCCACAGGCUAGACUCGGAACUAAGAACGCUAGUACUACUAAACGCACUGUCCUAUGACUCGUUCGAUUCCAACUCAGACUUCCUCCUCCUGCACCUAGACGACCUCCUCGACAAACACGUCCUUCCAUAGUAGAAGCUGGGAUUGCGUCGCUACGACCUGUAGCUGGACCGCAAGGUUCUGCAGCGCUCGGCCGUCUAACACAGCGAGCACGUUUGUCACCUCCUCGAGUGUCUUUGACACGUUCUCGAGUGACUGCUCUUGCUCUUCGACUCCGUAGUCGAGCUCAAACGCGUCCUCUAGCGGCGGGCGCGGGUCACGCGGUGGCGCCUGGCCUCGGCACCACGGGACAAACCAAAGCACGGGCGCCGGCAGGAGGCGGGGAAACCUAAGCAAGGUCUGACUACCGAGCUUGUCUGUCGGCCGCAGUGCAUCUAAGGCGUUUAUAAAACGACGGUCUUUGUAGUGUCGUUGCAAUUAGGACUCACGGAACUCCUAGUACAUCACUGUGGAAUACUGUCUAAGAAGGAAAAAACUGUUCUCAUACCGUCUAAGAACACCUUUAGUUAAAACCGAGAUUCCUCGUGUGCGAGGACGCACAGUUUUUACCUAAAAUGUUUACAGUUUCUUUUUCUCUUCUACACAAAUAACAGUGUGGGUUUACUAUGUACGUUUAAAGGUCCCCUUUUUGAAUUCGUAAAUCUGGAUACG